UCCUUCCCUCCUCCCGCCGCAGCCUGGACCUGGUUCGGCCGCAACUUCCUGCCGUGUGCUGGGGAACCGUGCGCAUUCCGGGGGUCCCCCGGAGUUUGGGUGCUCGCAGCGGGCGGAGGCUGGGACCCCGGGGCGGCCAGCCGUGGGCGGGAGCAGCCGGCGGCUACUGCGGCUUCCGAGAGCGACUUUCAAAUUCCAACCCGCUUCGCCGCGCCACCUGGGCAGCCCCGCGCGCCUGGCGCGUCGCGAGCCGGCGGGGCGGCCACGGCUUGAAUCUCCCCGAGGUGACAGUCCCAGGCAGCGAUGCCAGGAUGCCCGUCUCUACUGCCCUCCACCAAGAUGGCAGCCAGGAGCGGCCACCGAGCCUAAUGUCUACUACAUCUUCAUCUGGCUCCU
rnacentral:lncRNA from 1 species